AUGGCCCCAGAAAAGAAAUAGAAAAUAUAAGCAAAGAACUAUAUGAAAGCUUUAGAAAUGAAAAAUGUUGUAAUUGAAGUGACAAGCUGAGUGGAUGUACUCAACAGCAGAAUGGAGGGAACAGAGGGAAGAACUGGUGAGCUGCAAUAGAGAACAACUGGAAAUUACUCAAUGUGAAUAACAGGAAGAAAAUAGUCUGAAAAAACAAACGAGGUCUCAGCUGCAUGAAAUAGAAUAACAAAAGAAAGAACAUAUCUAUUAUCUGAGUCAUAGAAAAAUAAUAGAAAGAGGAUAGGGUUAAAAAAAGGUAUUUUUAAAAAUGGCUAAAAAUUUCUAAAGUUGAGAAGAGACAUAAGCCUAUCAGUUAAAAAAGAUGAGCAAACUCCAAUUCAGAUAAACUCUAAACCCAAAGAAAUUUAUUACAAGACACAUCAUAAUUAAACUUCCGGAAAGUAAAGACAGAAAUAAAUUAUAAAAGUUACAAAAAAAAAAAAAAGCCAGAGGGUCUACAGGGAAAAAUAAGUUGAAAAACAAGAGAUUUCUCAUCAAAAUCUAUGAAGGCCCAGAGGAAAUGACACAGUAGAUUUCAAGAGCUUAAAGAAAGGAAAUUUUAUCCCUGAUUCCUAUAUCCAGAGAAAAUAAUAUCCUAUAGAAAUGAAGAAAUCAAGUUAUUCUCAAAUGACAGAAAAACUGAGAGCAUUGGUCACCACAUAGCAAAUAUAAAGCAUGGUUAAAGGAAGUUAUCUUUAAAGGAUACACAGUUUUAAAAAGAAACAUUUGAACAUCAAGAAAAAUAAAUAACAUGUUGGAAUGGAGAUAAGAUGGCAGCAACUGGAAUAAAUAUUUUUGUACCAGGAGAUGGAAGCUAAAUAUCGAGGGUGAAUAGUAGCAAGGUAUGUUGAGCCGGGGCACUUGACGAUCUCAUGGAAGAAGACCUUGAUAACAAAGGAACAUUUACACAGGAGAGAAAUGAACUUCCGAACCGUGUUUUGGGGAAACAAGACUGGUUUUGAUUUAUACCUUCAAUGGCAAAGUCUAAUCCCUUCCCCUUUAUUUAAAAGCUGCAUGUCUUUAUACCCUCAAAUUAAAGAGGAACUGUGCAAUCUGAAAAGAUAUAUAAUGUCAUGAGGGAAAAAUGUUUGAAAUGUUUACAGAUCUGGAGCAAAUUUGCAGAUGUCAUAAACAAUAUAUUCAUAUUAUAAAUAUAUAAAUGUUUGUACAUUAAAAAUAAAGUUUAUAAAUCAUAUAGUUUAUCAGGACUGCAGAAUAUUGGUAUUUCAGCUCAUGGGAGGGAUUAUGGGAAGAAGAGAGGGUUGUUUGUGCUAGUUUACAUAUAGGCAGAUUUUAAAUAGGACAUAAAAAUAUCAAGAAUGAAAUGUAUUCAUUUGUAAUAACUGAAUUUAAAGUAGAUUUGGAAAGUGGGUGAAACAGAGAGUGUAAGGCUAUUACAUAUUUGUGGGAAAA
rnacentral:lncRNA from 10 species